AAUUAAAUUUUAAUUAACCUUAAUAUUUAUUUGAAAACAAUUAUAAUUUCACCCCCAAUUAUUAAAAACCGCAAUUACCCAGUUAAACGUUUAAUUGUUUUAACCCACUAUAUUUUACCAUGAAAAUAAAUUACCCCAAUAUUUUAAUUGUAAUAUUUACGAACGUUUAGGAUUUUUGCCGUAUUUUAUUUUAUUUUUACCGGCGACGUUAUAAUUUGCGAGGUAUAUUAUUUCCCGUAACCGGGACGUUAUUAUUACGGAGUGGCGUACCUGGGCGCGUGCCAACUGUAAUUAGCUCCACUUUACGUAAUAAAACGCCAGGGUAAAUUUGUUAUUUGUUUGUUUAAACGCGUAUACGCGAUUAAUAUUACGUGUUUUUUUUUUCUUUUACAUUUAAUUUUAAAUUUUCGAAAAAAAUCGCCUUUAUAAUGCAAUUUUGUCUAUUUAGGAUUGCUUUUGUAAUAUUAUUUAAAAUUUAACCAAUUAAUUACCGGGAACGGUAUAAUAAUAUUUAUAAUAUGGAAAAAAAAACACGAACGUUUAUAAGGUACGAUAUCGAAAAUAAUAUAUAAAUUUUUAUAAAAUAUAAUACCGAAAUAAUUAAAAACGAUACCAAACGGCAGCCGACCGGUUAAUUGGGAAAAUAAAAGGUUAAUUUUAAUUACGGUCGCCCCGAAAUAAAUCCCCCCCGCGUAAAACGUUAACGUUAGCAAUUUAUAAUAUAAAUACGGGCCCAACGUCGUCCGUCGAUCCGGAAACGCGUAAAAAAUAUUAUAACGGUUAAAAUAAAAACAAAACCACCGAUUCCCGAAAAAAUACUGACGAACCCGUUCGGUUAAAUAAUUAAAAUUAGCGAAUUUUAUUAUUAAAAAAUAUUAAUAAAUCGAUAUAUAAAAUUAACGAAAUUCCUUUUUCCGAAAAAAAAUACCAAAUAAUAAUAAAUAAAUUGGAAAAUCGCAUUAUUUAUAUAUAAAAUUAAAUCGAUUUAUUAAAUAAUAUUAAAUAAAAAAAUAAAAUUAUUAUUUCGCGUUUGUUCCGCGAAACCAGUUUCCGACGAAAAAUUACCGCAAUUAAUAUUAAUACCAAUUCCCGUAAUUUAUAUUAUAAAUUCCGCGUAAAAAAUCCUCCGACAAUUUUAAAUAAUUCGGACAAAGAUAAAAUUAUUUUCGAGGUUUAAUACCGCCGGAUAAAAAAUAAAUUAUUGUUUAAAGGAAUAUAUUAUCCUAUCGAUAUAAAUAAACGCGUUUACGUUAAAUUUCGUUUCGGAAAUAACGCCGCCGAUAUUUUGCUUUUUUAUUUUACGAUAUUUACACCGAUUAAAUUACCACGUACGACGGUAUAAUGGGCCAUUUGCGCGAAAAAUAUAAAAAUACCAGAUUCGAAAAUAUAACGCGGAACAAAUUGGAUAAAUUAAUUAUAUCGACGAAAAAACAAAUUUAUAAUUUUUAAAAAAAAUUUGUUUAAUUGGUAGGUUAAAAUGGUUUUCCGAAACGAAAUUGGAAACGGGAAUGGUACCGCCGCCUAUUUACCAAUUUACAAAUUUUAAUGGUUAUAUAUUAUUAGAAUAUUAACGUUUUUUUUAACGUUUACGUCCGUACGGCCGAUGGUAUUUCCUAUAAUCUUUCCAAAACCUACGUUUCGCGGACCGAAAAUAAAAGACCGAAAAUAAAAAUAAAACCAAAACCACCUCGACUAAAACAAUUAUAAAAAGGGUUGUUAUUUUACGUAUUAAAAAACCAGCCCCGAUAUUACGAUUAAAGUAUUGGGUAACCUGUUCUUAUGGUAAAGUACAGUGGGUUAAAACAAUU
rnacentral:sRNA from 1 species